rnacentral:rRNA from 1 species
UACAGAGGGGGCAAGCGUUAUUCGGAAUUAUUGGGCGUAAAGGGCGCGUAGGCGGCUUGGCAAGUGGAUGGUGAAAUCCCUCGGCUUAAUCGAGGAACUGCCGUCCAAACUGCUUCGCUUGAGACCGGGAGAGGUGAGUGGAAUUCCCAGUGUAGCGGUGAAAUGCGUAGAUAUUGGGAGGAACACCAGUGGCGAAGGCGGCUACCUGGACCGGUUCUGACGCUGAGGCGCGAAAGCGUGGGUAGCAAACAGG